CCUACGGGAGGCAGCAGUGAGGAAUAUUGGUCAAUGGGCGCGAGCCUGAACCAGCCAAGUAGCGUGAAGGAUGACUGCCCUACGGGUUGUAAACUUCUUUUAUAAGGGAAUAAAGUGCGGCACGUGUGCCUUUUUGUAUGUACUUUAUGAAUAAGGAUCGGCUAACUCCGUGCCAGCAGCCGCGGUAAUACGGAGGAUCCGGGCGUUAUCCGGAUUUAUUGGGUUUAAAGGGAGCGUAGAUGGGUUGUUAAGUCAGUUGUGAAAGUUUGCGGCUCAACCGUAAAACUGCAAUUGAUACUGGCAGUCUUGAGUACAGUGGAGGUAGGCGGAAUGCGUGGUGUAGCGGUGAAAUGCUUAGAUAUCACGAAGAACUCCGAUUGCGAAGGCAGCUUACCAAACUGCAACUGACAUUGAUGCUCGAAAGUGUGGGUAUCAAACAGGAGUAGAUACCCGAGUAGUC
rnacentral:rRNA from 1 species